UUUGGUGACUAUGGCAAAGAGGUCACACCUGUUCCCAUGCCGAACACAGAAGUUAAGCUCUUUAGCGCCGAUGGUAGUCAGACUUACGUUCCGCGAGAGUAGGACGUUGCCAAGC
rnacentral:rRNA from 1 species